CGCCUGUUGACGCCUCUUAUCCUUGGUCUCUUUCUCUGAUUCCGAUCGGCGAUGGCGGCGGCGAUGGCGACUGCGGCGGCGCUGGCUUCAACUGACGUCACCUGCACUCAGUUCUCUGGGUUGCGGCGGGCGAGCUCCUCCCCCUUCUUUGUCUCUCCGCAGAUCCGCGUCUCCUCCUCCCGCAGUGCUCCCAGAGGAGUCGUUGCCAUGGCAGGAUCGGGAAAGUUUUUUGUGGGAGGCAACUGGAAGUGUAAUGGGACGAAAGACUCGAUUAGCAAACUUAUAUCUGAUCUGAAUGGUGCACACUUGGAAAAUGAUGUUGAUGUUGUGGUGGCACCUCCGUUCAUAUACAUUGAUCAGGUAAAGAAUUCAUUGACUGAUCGUAUUGGAAUUUCAGCUCAGAAUACCUGGGUUGGAAAAGGUGGAGCCUUCACUGGAGAAAUCAGUGCUGAGCAAUUGGUAGACAUUGGCUGUGAGUGGGUUAUUCUUGGGCACUCUGAACGUAGGCAUAUUAUUGGUGAAGCAGAUGAGUUCAUAGGCAAGAAAGCUGCAUAUGCGUUGAGCCAGAAUCUUAAAGUUAUUGCCUGCAUAGGAGAAAAAUUAGAAGAAAGAGAAGCAGGGAAAACUUUUGAUGUCUGUUUCCAG
rnacentral:misc_RNA from 1 species